rnacentral:rRNA from 1 species
CCUACGGGAGGCAGCAGUGGGGAAUAUUGCACAAUGGGGGGAACCCUGAUGCAGCGACGCCGCGUGGGUGAAGGAGUAUUUCGGUAUGUAAAGCCCUAUCAGCAGGGAAGAACAAUGACGGUACCUGACUAAGAAGCACCGGCUAAAUACGUGCCGGCAGCCGCGGUAAUACGUAGGGUGCAAGCGUUACCCGGAUUUACGGGGUGUAAAGGGAGCGCAGGCGGCGCGUUAAGCCUGGUGUGAAAGCCCGCGGCCCAACCGCGGGACUGCAUUGGGAACUGGCGGGCUGGAGUGCCGGAGGGGUAGGCGGAAUUCCUGGUGUAGCGGUGAAAUGCGUAGAUAGUAGGAGGAACACCAGUGGCGAAGGCGGGCUACUGGACGGUGACUGACGCUGAGGCUCGAAGGCGGGGGGAGCGAACAGGAUUAGAUACCCUGGUAGUC